GUGUCACAUAUGGCUCAUUCUGGCCUCUUCCUAGGUGGGAAUGGUGUGCGGCGAGAGCCGUGCGGAUUUCUCGCCCGCGCAAACCGGUCAGUCUCAGCGCUGCCAGGCUAAUCCCUCCGCAGUCAGCCUGUACCGCACUACAAUCUUCCAGUCUCUGGUCUUCAAAUUACUCUUUAUCCUAUGUGACUGUUGUCAGAAGGUGCUGCUGCAUACAUAACCAAGGGCAGAAUCUACRCCGCAAUCAGAAUGGAAGUUGAUGACGCAUACAAAGAAAAACACUGGCUUUGCACUCCUACCAAAUAUUAAAAGCUGGGAGCUGUAAAAGCCAGUGGGMACUGACCAGGCUCA